UACAGAGGGUGCGAGCGUUAAUCGGAAUGAUUGGGCGUAAAGCGCGCGUAGGCGGUAAGAAAAGUUGGAUGUGAAAUCUUCGGGCUUAACCUGGAAACUGCAUCCAAAACUGACUUACUAGAAUUCAGCAGAGGAAAGUAGAAUUUCCAGUGUAGCGGUGAAAUGCGUAGAUAUUGGAAGGAAUACCAGAGGCGAAGGCGGCUUUCUGGGCUGAAAUUGACGCUAAGGCGCGAAAGCGUGGGGAGCAAACAGGAUUAGAUACCCCCGUA
rnacentral:rRNA from 1 species